rnacentral:sRNA from 1 species
UCUCUCCCGAAGCUGCGCGCUGGGUCGAAGAGGACGACCUUCCCGGAAUACAGGAGGGCUGGUCUUCGGUCAAGGGUAUAUGAGUAGCUGCGCUCCGCUGCUAGAACCUACAAACAAGCUAGUUUCUUCUUAAUCAUAGCAAUUUCUAGC